rnacentral:pre_miRNA from 1 species
AGGAGCAACAGCCCCAGUGGCGGGGCAGCUCUGGAAACCUGGAUUCAGCCCCCGCAGUAACUCCGGAGCUCUCCGUCUGCAGGGCCUGGAGGCUCCGGGCGGGG